CUUCCAGCCUUUAUUCACUCUUCGAUUUCCUCUAACACCAUGUCCUCCGAGCGCACCUUUAUUGCCGUCAAGCCGGACGGCGUGCAGCGCGGCCUCGUUGGCGAGAUCAUCGCCCGCUUCGAGCGCAAGGGCUACAAGCUCGUCGCCUUGAAGAUACUGCAGCCGACAACGGAGCAGGCCCAGGGUCACUAUAAGGACCUUUCCUCCAAGCCGUUCUUCCCGGCCCUUGUGAAGUACUUCUCCUCUGGCCCGAUCGUGUGUAUGGUGUGGGAGGGUAAGAACGUGGUGAAGAGCGGCCGCGUGCUGCUCGGCGCGACGAACCCGGCGGACUCACAGCCUGGCACGAUCCGCGGCGACUUUGCCGUGGAUGUGGGCCGCAACGUGUGCCACGGCUCCGACUCCGUGGAGAGCGCGGAGCGCGAGAUCGCCUUUUGGUUCAAGGCGGAUGAGAUCGCGAGCUGGACGUCGCACUCCGUGUCCCAGAUCUACGAGUAGUGGAUGCUCGUGGAUUAUACACAGACACGCUAAGUCUUGAUUUCAGGAAAUGUUUGUGGCGUCGUCGUUCUCUUCGCUUUGCUGUAGUCAUUGCUUUGCGGGACUCUUCGAAAAGCCCAGAGAAUCCUUCGUCACUUUUUUUUUCGCUUGUGCUCUCCCUCUUGAGCAUGAUCAUAUACAUCCACUUUGUGGUCAAAUAGUGUGUUACACACUACAUAGGC
rnacentral:misc_RNA from 1 species